rnacentral:rRNA from 1 species
CCGCCCUGUUUUUGUGAUCCUCUUUGAAAACCCCCGGGAUUUCGGAGAAACGGCCAGUGAAGCGGUAACAGCUCAGAUUUGAAAUCCGGCCUCGGCCCUUUUUGUAAUUCGUAGAGGAUGCUUUUGGCGCGGGGCCUUUUGAGUUCCCUGGAACGGGACCCCAUANAGGGUGAGAGCCCCGUACGGUUGGACGCCAAGCCUCUGUAAAGCUCCUUCGACGAGUCGAGUANUUUGGGAAUGCUGCUCAAAAUGGGAGGUAAAUGCCUUCUAAAGCUAAAUACUGGCCAGAGACCGAUAGCGCACAAGUAGAGUGAUCGAAAGAUGAAAAGCACUUUGAAAAGAGGGUUAAAUAGCACGUGAAAUUGCUGAAAGGGAAGCGCUCAUGACCAAGACGUGUGCCUUGUGAAUCAUCCAGCGUUCUCGCUGGUGCACUUCGCCUGGUACAGGCCAGCAUCGAUUUCUCCAGGGGGAUAAAGGCCUCGGGAACGUAGCUCCUCCGGGAGUGUUAUAGCCCGUGGCAUAAUAUCCUUGGGGGGAUCGAGGUCCCGCGCUCCGCAAGGAUGCUGGCGUAAUGGUCAUCAGCGACCCGUCUUGAAACACCGACCAAGGAGUCAAGCAUUACGGCGAGUGCUUGGGUGUCAAACCCGCACGCGAAAUGAAAGUGAACGCCAGGUGGAGAGCUUCGGGCGCAUCAUCCACCGAUCCUGAUGUAUUCGGAUGGAUUUUGAGUAAGAACCCUUACCCGUUUGGACCCCAAAAAUGGUGAACUAUUGCCUGGAUAGGGUGAAGCCCGAGGAAACUCUUGGUUGGAGGCUCCCAACGUUCUGACCGUGCAAAAUCCAUCGUCAAAAUCUGGGCAUUGGGGGGCGAAAAAACUAAUCGAAACCUCUAGUUAUCUUGGUUACCCCCGAAGUUUCCUCAGGAUACACGGUGGAUUCAGUUAUGAAGGUAAACCAAUGAUUAGGACUCGGGGCCUUUUAACCUUAAUCCUUUUAAACUUAAAUGUAAGAACCCUUGUACUUAAUGACGUGGCAUCAAAGCACACUGGGCAUUUUGUAAACAAACUGGCAUCCGGAGACCCACCCG